GGAGUCUCCUUCUCCAGCGAAACCCAAGGAAAUCGGGACUCCUAGGACACCUCGGAGUCCUAGGAUCCUCUAUAAGUAGACUCCUCCCCUUUGAGACCCAAGAUCGGCCUCCUCCCUCUCUCUUUUUCUCUGAUUUUCCCGAAGAAGAGCCGCCGACACAGUUGGGUUCUCGCCGUGUUUUCUCUCCGACGAGGUCCCAAGAAGCCGAGGUAAGUUCUUCCCUUUCUUCCUCCCUUCCUUCCUCUUUCCCCCGUGCGUUUGGGCGCGGUGGCCGGCGACGAGCGUCGCCGAUUUUUGGUCGGGAACAGACUCUAUUUUUUGGCUUAUUUUCCUUGAAAUCUCCG
rnacentral:lncRNA from 1 species